UUCCAGCUCCAAUAGCGUAUAUUAAAGUUGUUGCGGUUAAAAAGCUCGUAGUCGAAUCUGUGUCCCGCGUCGCUGGUUCAUCGUCCGCGGUGUUAACUGGCGUUCCGCGGGACGUCCUGCCGGUGGGCUUAGCUCGCAAGGGCGGCCCAACUCAAUCCCGCCGCGGUGCUCUUCAUUGAGUGUCGAGGUGGGCCGGCACGUUUACUUUGAACAAAUUAGAGUGCUUAAAGCAGGCUAAAACUUCGCCUGAAUACUGUGUGCAUGGAAUAAUGGAAUAGGACCUCGGUUCUAUUUUGUUGGUUUUCGGAACCCCGAGGUAAUGAUUAAUAGGAACGGAUGG
rnacentral:rRNA from 1 species